GAGAAACUUGUAGAGGUUAUGGGAUUGGCUUGAAACAGUCUGUGGAGGUUCUAUUCCUUCCUUUUUCA
rnacentral:tRNA from 1 species